rnacentral:rRNA from 1 species
AUUGAACGCUGGCGGCAGGCCUAACACAUGCAAGUCGAGCGAGCGGCGGACGGGUAAGUAAUGUAUGGGGACUGCCAGAGAGAGGGGGAUCACUACUGGAAACGGUGGCUCAUACCGCAUACUAACGGAUAACCCAUAUUGGAUUGGCUGGUGGGUAAGGUAAUGGCUUACCUAGGCGACGAUCCCUAGCUGGUCUGAGAGGAGGAUCAGUCACACUGGGACUGAGACACGGCCCAGACUCCUACGGAGGCAGCAGGGGGGAAUAUUGCACAAUGGGCGAAAGCCUGAUGCAGCCAUGCCGCGUGUAUGAAGAAGGCCCUAGGGUUGUAAAGUACUUUCAGUCGGGAGGCGUUACCUACAGAAUAAGCACCGGCUAACUCCGUGCCAGCAGCCGCGGUAAUUC